AAAUAAGAAGCAAANAUUUGCAUUUAGUUUCGACCUAAAAAUUUGANUUUUAWAAUCCUUAUUUA
rnacentral:tRNA from 1 species